UAGGGAAUCUUCCGCAAUGGGCGAAAGCCUGACGGAGCAACGCCGCUUGAGUGAUGAAGGUCUUCGGAUCGUAAAACUCUGUUAUUAGGGAAGAAUAAAUGUGUAAGUAACUAUGCACGUCUUGACGGUACCUAAUCAGAAAGCCACGGCUAACUACGUGCCAGCAGCCGCGGUAAUACGUAGGUGGCAAGCGUUAUCCGGAAUUAUUGGGCGUAAAGCGCGCGUAGGCGGUUUUUUAAGUCUGAUGUGAAAGCCCACGGCUCAACCGUGGAGGGUCAUUGGAAACUGGAAAACUUGAGUGCAGAAGAGGAAAGUGGAAUUCCAUGUGUAGCGGUGAAAUGCGCAGAGAUAUGGAGGAACACCAGUGGCGAAGGCGACUUUCUGGUCUGUAACUGACGCUGAUGUGCGAAAGCGUGGGGAUCAAACAGG
rnacentral:rRNA from 1 species